rnacentral:lncRNA from 1 species
CGAGGUUGUCGAGCACUUGCUCCUUUUUAUUUCCUCGAAAUAUCUUCUAUUUUUUCAUAGCCCAUGCCUCUAAUGCAAUAAUACUUCGGAAGGGUGAAUCUUACUGAAAUAAUGUCUUGAUCUUAGGAGCAUGAUAAAUCUCUCAACAAGGGUCUAACUCAUUUUGAACAAACUCAAUACAGAGCAGAUAGCUUUUAUAAUCAUAAUUAAUAUUUCAGUUUUAUCAGGCAUAUAAAACACUGAGGAUGGU